UCAAUAAGCGGAGGAAAAGAAACCAACAGGGAUUGCCCCAGUAACGGCGAGUGAAGCGGCAACAGCUCAAAUUUGAAAUCUGGCCCCUAGGGCCCGAGUUGUAAUUUGCAGAGGAUGCUUUUGGCGAGGUGCCUUCCGAGUUCCCUGGAACGGGACGCCAUAGAGGGUGAGAGCCCCGUCUGGUUGGAUACCGAGCCUCUGUAAAGCUCCUUCGACGAGUCGAGUAGUUUGGGAAUGCUGCUCUAAAUGGGAGGUAUAUGUCUUCUAAAGCUAAAUAUUGGCCAGAGACCGAUAGCGCACAAGUAGAGUGAUCGAAAGAUGAAAAGCACUUUGAAAAGAGGGUUAAAAAGUACGUGAAAUUGUUGAAAGGGAAGCGCUCAUGACCAGACUUGGGCCCGGUGAAUCACCCAGCGUUCUCGCUGGGGCACUUUGCCGGGCUCAGGCCAGCAUCAGUUCGCGUCGGGGGACAAAGACUUCGGGAAUGUGGCUCCUCCGGGAGUGUUAUAGCCCGUUGUGCAAUACCCUGGGGCGGACUGAGGUUCGCGCAUCUGCAAGGAUGCUGGCGUAAUGGUCAUCA
rnacentral:rRNA from 1 species